AUGAUGCCGCUGCUUGCUGUGCAAUGCCGACUCACGCGAGGAAGAACGACGUCUUGACUGC
rnacentral:snoRNA from 1 species